rnacentral:rRNA from 1 species
AACUUAUUGUUACUACUAUUUCUACCGUUAAGAGUUAAUAUGGUUAAUACCCCAUAUAACUCAGUUACUUUGAGUAAAUCAGAGUGCUUAAAACAAGCGUAUUGCUUGAAUGGUUGUGCAUGGAAUAACAAUACAAUGCAUUGAUAUUUGUUUUGUUGGUUUUAAUGUCAAUGAAUGAUUAAAAGGAACAAACGGGGGCAAAAGUAUCAUAAGGCGAGAGGUGAAAUUCGUGGACCCUUGUGAGACUGCCUAAAGCGAAAGCAUUUGCCAAGAAUGUUUUCUUUAAUCAAGAACGAAAGUCAGAGGAUCGAAGGCGAUUAGAUACCGCCCUAGUUCUGACCGUAAACUAUGCCAUCUAACGAGUCGGUAUUGGUUAUUAAUUGCCAUUUUGACGAGUUACCCGGAAACGAAAGUCUUUCGGUUCCGGGGGGAGUAUGGUUGCAAAACUGAAACUUAAAGGGAUUGACGGAAAGUCACCACCAGAAAUGGAGCCUGCGGCUUAAUUUGACUCAACACGGGAAAACUCACCCGGUCUAGACACUAAAAUGAAUGACAGACUGAUAUAUCUCUCAAGAUAUAGUGCAAAGUGGUGCAUGGCCGUUCUUAGUUCGUGGAGUAAUCUGUCUGGUUAAUUUCGAUAACGAACGAGACUAGAACAUAGUUAAUUGUAUGUAAUAUUAUUAUUUUAUUACAUGGUGAUAAAUGGAUAUGCA